AUGUCUAAGCGGCUCCAGGGAGAGGAGAAACAGGCAAACUGCGCCCGCAAAAGGUCACGACGUUCUGAGCAGAAGCACCUCUAUCUGGUACUGGAUGACUGGAAAGAUGGGUUCAGCAUUCACAAGAUUGACGCCGACGACGACGAAGCGGACCUUGGCCAGCCACCGGUCCUCCGGCUGGUGUCGCCGGCGCCUGGUUUUCCAAUGCGCUUUGCGGUCGUGGGCAGCAACAUCGUCAUCGUCACCAACCCACGCUGUGGUCAGGCUCCCACACUUUUCUAUGAUACGAAAAGAACAGGACUCGCCGUCGGCCCUCCACUCCCCGGUCCACUGGUAGGUGACUUCCACACCUCCGUGGCCACUGCAGAGAUGCUGUAUGCGCUGAGUUUUCACCAUAGGAAUCAGCAGCACUCCUUUGAGGUGAUGUCUUGUGCAUCAUCUCCAAAUCCUUGUACCAUGAGCUGGUCAUGGACAAGUGUGCCCUCACCACCCCCGUUCGAGGAGGAUGAAUGGAUCACCUCCUACGCCGUGCACCCUGAUGGACACACCAUCUUCAUGUCCGGGGUCAACAAGUACAAUCUCAAACGCCGCACCUUCUCUUUCGACACCAGGUACUGCGAGUGGAGGUUUCAUGGGGAAUGGGCCUUGCCUUUCCAAGGCCAGGGCUACUAUGACAGCACGCUGGACGGAUGGGUUGGCCUUCACGAGGAUGGCUACAUCUGCGCCUGCCAAGUCGCCCCCCGCAGCCGCGCAAGUAGCGUGGAGGGCCUCCGCCUUGGCCUAUCGAUCUCAAUCAGGCUGAGACCAGGGCCUGAUGGCGACCGAGCGGGCGACCGGGCGGGCGUCUGUGCGCACGACCGCGGCGGCGCCGUCCAUAGCCUCCGGUGA
rnacentral:rRNA from 1 species